rnacentral:tRNA from 1 species
GGGGAUAUAACUCAACUGAUAGAGUGCUUGCAUCACAUGCAAAAGGCCCUGGGUUCAACCCCUCUUCCCCCC